AGGGAAGAUGGACACCACUCCGCGUUCGCUAGCUAUAGCCCUCCAACCCCAGAAAAGGCAGAGAACAAGUCGUUACAAGAUGCCCACACCUUUAAUAAUGUGCCACCACCACUGGAUAAUGGCACGAAUUUGCUUAGGACUUUAUUAAAAAUUAGCGAAGAUGAAGAUUCAUCUAAGAAGAAGAGUAAUAAGACAACUACUGAUACAAAUUGGCGAGC